rnacentral:rRNA from 1 species
CGGACGGGUGAGUAACACGUAGAGAACCUACCUUACACAGGGGGACAACGGCUGGAAACGGCUGCUAAUACCGCAUAAGCACCCAGUUUCGCAUGAAACAGAGUGAAAAGAGUAAAUCGGUGUAAGAUGGCUCUGCGUCUGAUUAGCUAGUUGGUGGGGUAAAGGCUCACCAAGGCGACGAUCAGUAGCCGGCUUGAGAGGGCGACCGGCCACAUUGGGACUGAGACACGGCCCAGACUCCUACGGGAGGCAGCAG